UGGGGAAUAUUGGACAAUGGGCGAAAGCCUGAUCCAGCCAUGCCGCGUGAGUGAUGAAGGCCCUAGGGUUGUAAAGCUCUUUUGUGCGGGAAGAUAAUGACGGUACCGCAAGAAUAAGCCCCGGCUAACUUCGUGCCAGCAGCCGCGGUAAUACGAAGGGGGCUAGCGUUGCUCGGAAUCACUGGGCGUAAAGGGUGCGUAGGCGGGUUUCUAAGUCAGAGGUGAAAGCCCGGAGCUCAACUCCAGAACUGCCUUUGAUACUGGAAGUCUUGAGUUCGGGAGAGGUGAGUGGAACUGCGAGUGUAGAGGUGAAAUUCGUAGAUAUUCGCAAGAACACCAGUGGCGAAGGCGGCUCACUGGCCCGAUACUGACGCUGAGGCACGAAAGCGUGGGGAGCAAACA
rnacentral:rRNA from 1 species